rnacentral:rRNA from 1 species
AGUGAACGCUGGCGGUAGGCCUAACACAUGCAAGUCGAACGGCAGCACAGUAAGAGCUUGCUCUUACGGGUGGCGAGUGGCGGACGGGUGAGGAAUACAUCGGAAUCUACUUUUUCGUGGGGGAUAACGUAGGGAAACUUACGCUAAUACCGCAUACGACCUACGGGUGAAAGCAGGGGAUCUUCGGACCUUGCGCGAUUGAAUGAGCCGAUGUCGGAUUAGCUAGUUGGCGGGGUAAAGGCCCACCAAGGCGACGAUCCGUAGCUGGUCUGAGAGGAUGAUCAGCCACACUGGAACUGAGACACGGUCCAGACUCCUACGGGAGGCAGCAGUGGGGAAUAUUGGACAAUGGGCGCAAGCCUGAUCCAGCCAUACCGCGUGGGUGAAGAGGGCCUUCGGGUUGUAAAGCCCUUUUGUUGGGAAAGAAAAGCAGCAGGUUAAUACCCCGCUGUCCUGACGGUACCCAAAGAAUAAGCACCGGCUAACUUCGUG